rnacentral:rRNA from 1 species
UACGUAGGAGACGAGCGUUGUCCGGAGUUACUGGGCGUAAAGCGCACGUAGGCGGCUUUGUAAGUUAGAGGUGAAAGCCCAGGGCUCAACCCUGGAAUUGCCUUUAAGACUGCAUCGCUAGAAUUGUGGAGAGGUAAGUGGAAUUCCGAGUGUAGAGGUGAAAUUCGUAGAUAUUCGGAAGAACACCAGUGGCGAAGGCGACUUACUGGACACAUAUUGACGCUGAGGUGCGAAAGCGUGGGGAGCAAACAGG